rnacentral:rRNA from 1 species
GACGAACGCUGGCGGCGUGCUUAACACAUGCAAGUCGAACGGAAAGGCCCUGCUUUUGUGGGGUGCUCGAGUGGCGAACGGGUGAGUAACACGUGAGUAACCUGCCCUUGACUUUGGGAUAACUUCAGGAAACUGGGGCUAAUACCGGAUAGGAGCUCCUGCUGCAUGGUGGGGGUUGGAAAGUUUCGGCGGUUGGGGAUGGACUCGCGGCUUAUCAGCUUGUUGGUGGGGUAGUGGCUUACCAAGGCUUUGACGGGUAGCCGGCCUGAGAGGGUGACCGGCCACAUUGAGACUGAGAUACGGCCCAGACUCCUACGGGAGGCAGCAGUGGGGAAUAUUGCACAAUGGGCGGAAGCCUGAUGCAGCAACGCCGCGUGCGGGAUGACGGCCUUCGGGUUGUAAACCGCUUUCGCCUGUGACGAAGCGUGAGUGACGGUAAUGGGUAAAGAAGCACCGGCGAACUACGU